rnacentral:rRNA from 1 species
GACGAACGCUGGCGGCGGGCUUAACACAUGCAAGUCGAACGGAAAGGCCCUGCUUUUGUGGGGUGCUCGAGUGGCGAACGGGUGAGUAACACGUGAGUAACCUGCCCUUGACUUUGGGAUAACUUCAGGAAACUGGGGCUAAUACCGGAUAGGAGCUCCUGCUGCAUGGUGGGGGUUGGAAAGUUUCGGCGGUUGGGGAUGGACUCGCGGCUUAUCAGCUUGUUGGUGGGGUAGUGGCUUACCAAGGCUUUGACGGGUAGCCGGCCUGAGAGGGUGACCGGCCACAUUGGGACUGAGAUACGGACCAGACUCCUACGGGAGGCAGCAGUGGGGAAUAUUGUACAAUGGGCGGAAGCCUGAUGCAGCAACGCCGCGUGCGGGAUGACGGCCUUCGGGUUGUAAACCGCUUUCGCCUGUGACGAAGCGUGAGUGACGGUAAUGGGUAAAGAAGCACCGGCUAACUACGUG